rnacentral:rRNA from 1 species
GGAUGAACGCUGGCGGCGUGCCUACCACAUGCAAGUCGAACGGAGUCCAGCCUUUAAGACCUUCGGGUCAAAGAGGGGAAGACUGAGUGGCGGACGGGUGAGUAACACGUGGGCAACCUGGCUCAUAGAGGGGGAUAACAGAGAGAAAUUUCUGCUAAUACCGCAUAAGCACACACUGCCGCAUGGCAGAGGGUGAAAAGAGAAUCGCUAUGAGAUGGACCCGCGUCUGAUUAGCCAGUUGGCAGGGUAAGAGCCUACCAAAGCGACGAUCAGUAGCCGAUCUGAGAGGAUGAACGGCCACAUUGGGACUGAGACACGGCCCAAACUCCUACGGGAGGCAGCAGUGGGGGAUAUUGCACAAUGGGGGGAACCCUGAUGCAGCGACGCCGCGUGAGUGAAGAAGUAUUUCGGUAUGUAAAGCUCUAUCAGCAGGGAAGAUAAUGACAGUACCUGAAUAAGAAGCCCCGGCUAACUACGUG